rnacentral:rRNA from 1 species
UACGGAGGGUGCGAGCGUUGUCCGGAAUUAUUGGGCGUAAAGCGCACGUAGGCGGCUUUUCAAGUCCCAUGUGAAAGCCCACGGCUUAACCGUGGAAGUGCAUGGGAAACUGGAAGCUUGAGUACUUAAGAGGAUCGCGGAAUUCCCGGUGUAGAGGUGAAAUUCGUAGAUAUCGGGAGGAACACCAGUGGCGAAGGCGGCGAUCUGGGAAGAUACUGACGCUGAGGUGCGAAAGCGUGGGGAGCAAACAGG